rnacentral:rRNA from 1 species
GAUGAACGCUGGCGGCGUGCCUAAUACAUGCAAGUCGAGCGAACAGACGAGGAGCUUGCUCCUUUGACGUUAGCGGCGGACGGGUGAGUAAGAAGUGGAUAACCUACCUAUAUGUCUGGGGUAACUUCGGGAGACCGGAGCUAAUACCGGAUAAUAUUAUGAACCGCAUGGUUCAAUAGUGAAAGACGGUUUUGCUGUCUCUUAUAGAUGGAUCCGCGCCGGAUUAGCUAGUUGGUAAGGUAACGGCUUACCAAGGCGACGAUGCGUAGCCGACCUGAGAGGGUGAUCGGCCACACUGGAACUGAGACACGGUCCAGACUCCUACGGGAGGCAGCAGUAGGGAAUCUUCCGCAAAGGGCGAAAGCCUGACGGAGCAACGCCGCGUGAGUGAUGAAGGUCUUCGGAUCGUAAAACUCUGUUAUUAGGGAAGAACAAAUGUGUAAGUAACUAUGCACGUCUUGACGGUACCUAAUCAGAAAGCCACGGCUAACUACGUG